rnacentral:tRNA from 1 species
GCCCCGGUGGCCGAGUGGUCGAAGGCGUGGGACUUAUGAUCUCAUUGGGUUAAACCAAUCGCGGGUUCGAAUCCCGCCCGGGGCG